GGCGAACGGGUGAGUAACACGUACCUAAUCUACCCAUUAGCGGGGGAUAACAGUUGGAAACGACUGCUAAUACCGCAUAGCACAUUUCUCGGCAUCGAGGAAUGUCUAAAGUUCCGUUUGGAACACUAAUGGAUGAGGGUGCGGCGUAUUAGCUAGUUGGUGAGGUAAUGGCUCACCAAGGCGAUGAUACGUAGCCGAACUGAGAGGUUGAACGGCCACAUCGGGACUGAGACACGGCCCGA
rnacentral:rRNA from 1 species